rnacentral:rRNA from 1 species
GCCAGACUCCUACGGGAGGCAGCAGUGGGGGAUAUUGCACAAUGGGGGGAACCCUGAUGCAGCGACGCCGCGUGGGUGAAGGAGCGUUUCGGCGCGUAAAGCCCUAUCGGCAGGGAAGAAGGAGGACGGUACCUGACUAAGAAGCCCCGGCUAACUACGUGCCAGCAGCCGCGGUAAUACGUAGGGGGCAAGCGUUAUCCGGAUUUACUGGGUGUAAAGGGGGCGCAGACGGCAGCGCAAGCCAGGAGUGAAAGCCCGGGGCCCAACCCCGGGACUGCUCUUGGAACUGCGCGGCUGGAGUGCAGGAGGGGCAGGCGGAAUUCCUGGUGUAGCGGUGAAAUGCGUAGAUAUCAGGAGGAACACCGGUGGCGAAGGCGGCCUGCUGGACGACAACUGACGGUGAGGCGCGAAAGCGUGGGGAGCAAACAGGAUUAGAUACCCCAGUAC